rnacentral:rRNA from 1 species
UACGUAGGAUGCAAGCGUUGUCCGGAAUUAUUGGGCGUAAAGAGUUCGUAGGCGGUUGCCUAAGUCUGGUGUUAAAUACAGGAGCUCAACUCCUGCAUGGCACUGGAAACUGGGCGGCUAGAGUGUGGUAGAGGUCACGGGAAUUCCAGGUGUAGCGGUGAAAUGCGUAGAUAUCUGGAGGAACACCAGUGGCGAAAGCGCGUGACUGGGCCACAACUGACGCUGAGGAACGAAAGCCAGGGGAGCGAAAGGGAUUAGAUACCCCUGUAGUCCUGGCCGUAAACGAUGGAUACUAGGUGUAGGAGGAUUCGACCCCUUCUGUGCCGUAGCUAACGCGAUAAGUAUCCCGCCUGGGGAGUACGACCGCAAGGUUGAA